CAGUCGCCACAGGAAUACAGAGGGUGCAAGCGUUAAUCGGAAUUACUGGGCGUAAAGCGCGCGUAGGUGGUUUGUUAAGUUGGAUGUGAAAUCCCCGGGCUCAACCUGGGAACUGCAUCCAAAACUGGCAAGCUAGAGUAUGGUAGAGGGUGGUGGAAUUUCCUGUGUAGCGGUGAAAUGCGUAGAUAUAGGAAGGAACACCAGUGGCGAAGGCGACCACCUGGACUGAUACUGACACUGAGGUGCGAAAGCGUGGGGAGCAAACAGGAUUAGAUACCCCCGUAGUCCCUGUCUCUUAUAA
rnacentral:rRNA from 1 species